rnacentral:rRNA from 1 species
GGGAGAAUCCUGAAUUCGAAAGGGGUUGGAUUCAAGUCCUACCGGUCGCGCAGGCCGUCUUGCCUUGCCAGAUGGCGUCGGAAGCCCGCGGCGAUUCACCUCGCUUGUGGUGUCUUUCCCGGCGGUCACUCGGCGCGGUGGCGUUGCUCUGGCUCCGGAGGAGUGCACUUCCCCCCUAGUAGAAACGUCGCGACCCGUUGGGUGUCGGUCUAAGGCCCGGGAUGGCAGCCCGCGUGUCCUGUGGGGGUUCUCCUCACAGGCGUGUGGACUCCUGGUGACCCGACCGGCUGCUCGACGGUAUGACCAGAGGAGUCGAUCCGCUGCUUGGGAAACACUUUGGUUGUGCAGCGUCCGGCCCGGCGCCGAUGCGUGUGGGGAUUGAGGUGCAAACCGGGGGUGCCCGUGCGAAGCACGGCCCCGGCCCCACUGCGUUUUCGGAUGUCCGGUGACCUCGGACUGGGUCGUUACUCCCGUCGGCGACGCCCACCUUCGGAUGGUCUCCCG